UUUUUUUUUUUUGCUUUUUACGGCCGCAGCUGUGGCAUAUGGAGGUUCCCAGGCUAGGGGCUGAAUCAGAGCUGUAGCUGCUGCCCUACACCACAGUCACAGCAACGUGGGAUCCAAGCCACAUCUGCAACCUACACCACAGCUCGAGGCAAUCCUUAACCCACCCAGCAAGGCCAGGGAUCGAACCUACAUCCUCAUGGAUCCCAGUCGGGUGUGUUAACCACUGAGCCAGGAAGGGAACUCCUGGAUGUUUCUUUAAAAGGGCUCUUCCUUAGGUUAUGCAUCAAGAGAAAAAUCCCCCUGGAAAUAUCCUCUCUGGUAAGGGUGGGUAUGAAGAGAGAGCAAAAGUUGAGUGAAUCAAAGUUUAAUUUCUAAAAUCCCUAAUAAACAAAUGUUUACUUAAAACAAUGUCCUGGGGAGGGGGAUAGACUGGGGGUUUGGGAUAGAAAUGUCCUAAAAUUAGGUUGUGAGGAUGGUUGUACAACUAUAAACAUAAUAAAAUUCAUUGAAUUAUUUUUAAAAAUCUAAAAAAAGUCAAAAAUCCACUGAAAUCUAUGCCAUUUUUUGGUGGCUGUGUUGGACUCACGUAUGGGGGCCAAAUAAAUAAAGCAAGCCAAGCCUUCCAUACACUUUUCUCAAUGAUAAAGUUUCCAAGAUGAUGUACUAAUUAAAACACAUUCUGGUUGACUCUGGAAGUAAAAUACAGCCUGUCUGCCAGGAAAAAAAAAAAAAAGUACACAUUCUUGAUUUCCUCAGAACACACAGUCAUUGCUAUGGGAAAGCAGAGGGCCCACCCGACUGAGAAAUAUGCCCCCACCACACAAGCACGUGGGUUCCUGACUGUCAAGGUCCUGAUAGUAGACAGUAAGAAUCAGGGGACUAUUUUUCUACCUCUAAACAUUUUCGGGUCUAAGAACCUUUUUUUGUUACACUGUUUUUCACUUCCAGGGGUGUUGUCCAAAAGUAAUCAAACAAAAAAAUUAAACUCUGCAAAUUGUCCUCAAAUCAGUGGUUCUAAGAAGCACCAGACUCAAGCAACAGCCUUUCCUGCAAAGUGUCCCUGGACACAAACUCAGCUCUGCGCUCUCCCUGCCUUUUCCGCGCCUACUGGGAACUCAGUUCUUGCUCUCCCAUCCAGUAUCCUCAACAGCAGAGCUCCAACGAGUAAUUGGCUCUGCCACCAAUUUUCAACCUGGCAAGGUGCCUCCUCCACGGGCGGCACUGGGCAAGAGCAGCACCGGGACAAGAGCAGCACCAGCGUUGCCCCAACGCUGACGCUCAGCAAGAGCCUGCGGUUCGUGCAGCCCACGGUGCGCGGGGUUCAGUUAGUUACCAGUAUAACUUUAUUUAUUUAUUUUUUGUCUUUUUAGGGCCGCACCUGUAGCACAUGGAGGUUCCCAGGCUAGGGGUCUAAUCAAAGCUACAGCUGCCGGCCCACACCACAGCCACAGCAACGCC
rnacentral:lncRNA from 1 species